rnacentral:lncRNA from 1 species
UCUGAUUAAGUGCAGUUGAUGUUAUCUGUAUUGCUGUUAUUAUAGCAAAACACCAUGGGAUAAAUAUUCUAAUAGCAUCCCUCUUCCAAAUUGAUUACCACAUCUCCCCUGGCUUUGGCUUUGGAGAACCUGGGUCUCGUCAUGACUGGCCUUUCUUGGUGGCUGGCUUUAGUCCUGGACACCUUCAGUCAUCUUGGAUAAGACUAAGAGAUCUCACAGGGGUGGUUUGGUGGAGAGUGAGAUCCAAUGGUCUGAGACUGUCACGUUUAAUUUAAAUGUGACUGCUGAUUUGCACUGGAUUUGUAGGGGAAAACACUUUAAAAACUGAAUAAAAAACCAGAAAAGCCUUUUGUCAGAUACAGCUCCAUGUUAGAUAUGGCUCAUGUUUGGCUCUGGUGUAUCAGAAUAUGAGAUUUGGACCUUAGAAAGCAGUUCCUGCUCUCCUUUGCAGUUGUGUUUUUUUGUCAAAGUGCAGCAUUAUGCCAAAGUGUUCAGAGGAAACAGCAUGAAAGAGUCACAUGAUUCCCUUCAUGAUUUUCAUGAAAAUCCACUGGGAAAUAAACAAAUGGAACAUCUAUGAGUUGGCUGGCUUCUGAAGGAGACAAGCUUUAUUUUUUCGAAGAUUGUUUCCCAGCAGUACAGAAACAUGGUUUCUAGAAGAACUUGUUAGUCAUGGAGUAUUAAAAUCGAUUAAUGACACAUGAGAUGUGCACAUAUAAGCACCGUUUUGAAG